GGGGAUGUAAAGGAUUUCGACAGGGCGAUUUGUGUCUGCCGUAUUGCAUGCCGGUGGGAAGUUCACCGUAAAAACACUCAAAAAAAUAAACGCUAAUAACGUUGUAGAUGCUAGAAAUGCUUUUGCAGCAACUGCUGCAAGAAAAGCAGCCUAACAGAUAGGUGUAGCCACUUCAUAGUUUGAAUUUGCAGGGCUGUGGGGUCACUUUUGCAAAUACAGUAUGGAUUUUUUAAGGCGGUCUAUAUCAAGUUUCAGCCUUAGAAGUUGCCUUUCUUUAAAAAAGGCUUUGAUUAAACUAUCGGGUUUUGACUUUUUCCUUAGUUUUUUCAAGAAAAUAAAAGCCUAAGCAUGUAGAAAUGCGUCCGGCGCCGUUUUGGACGCGGGUUCAAUUCCCGCCAUCUCCACCA
rnacentral:tmRNA from 1 species